CACAGUAAUCCCAGUACUCAGGAGGCUGAGGCAGGAGGAUUGCCAUGACUUUGAGGCCAACUUGGGCUACAUAGUGAGUCCAAGGCCAGCCUGAGCUACAUAUCUGGCGAAAUUCUAAUCCGCAUAUGAGAUGCAGCUCAUAUGCUGCUACCACUCAGAAGCACCUGUAUUCAUCAGCCCAGCCAUGUUCAUUCCCUCAUUCAUAUCACAAACUCCUCAUGUCUUUAUCAUGACACUCAUUUGCUUAGUACAUAUGUGAUGAGCACUCACCAGGCCCCAGCAGUAUGGACUCCUGAAAUAAAUCUGAUGUUGUUAAGGAUCCCAGAGUCUAGCAGAGGAGAUAUACAGCAAAAAAGUCACAAAAAUCCUGAAGCCGUGAGAGAUCUGUCAAUAAAGGAGAAAAUAGGCUUCCGUGGAAGCAAAAGGGAAAAGCCCACCUCAGACUCCAAGAAAGAGCUGCAGAGACAAAGAUGCUUUGGUGUGGACAUUGUUCUGGAAUCACAGAAAGAAAUGCACAGAGACACA
ensembl:lncRNA